rnacentral:rRNA from 1 species
GUGCUGGUGUUUUACUUGCGCGUGUCCCACCUCUUCCCUUUCCGAACAGAGAAGUGAAAGUGCGCAAGCCCGAUAAUAGUCCUUCGGGGCGAACGUAGGGUAUGCCGGC